UAUAAGGCUUAUUAGAGUUUAACAUCUAAUAAAUAUUUCAAUUCUUUGAUCGAGUAUAAAGAAGUACGUACUUGGACUACCUAUUAUAAGAAUAGGUAUAUUCAAUAUCACGACCUCAUGAAAACACUACAGGAAUAUAACACCGAGCACAAACUUGGGAUUCGAGUUUCAAAUUUAAACUUCGAACAAUGAAUGAAUUCCUUAUCCUGUUGGCUGAAGAAAAAUGGCUCCAUUGUUUUCAAACGAAACCUGUUCGACCUACGAACUCUCGUACAGUGCAAGCAACGAUUGCCAGACGCGCUAAUCAAUAAUUGGAUUACAUGACGUUCAUUUUCUCAAGGUACAUGUUGACAAAAAGACAUCUUUGUCUUACCAAAGUACCUCGUAGUUCUGGAUUUGAUAUUGUAUGUUAUAGAAUUAGGUACUUAGUAAAAUUUUGCACCAGAUACGGAACGAAAUAAUUUAUUAAAAAUUUAAAGUCUUAAACCUUUUUCGUUUCAUGCUACCUCAGUAUGUAACGAAUGUACUUGAAUAAUUUUAUUAAUUUAUUAAAAAUGUAUACACGACAGUCCGGAAAUGUUUAUCUAAUAAAUAAUAAAGGAUAUA